rnacentral:rRNA from 1 species
UCCGCAGGCGGGCAAUUAAGUCAGAGGUGAAAUCCCACAGCUCAACUGUGGAACUGCCUUUGAUACUGGUUGUCUUGAGUUAUAGUGAAGUAGAUAGAAUAUGUAGUGUAGCGGUGAAAUGCAUAGAUAUUACAUAGAAUACCGAUUGCGAAGGCAGUCUACUAACUAUAUACUGACGCUAAUGGACGAAAGCGUGGGGAGCGAACAGGAUUAGAUACCCUGGUAGUCC